UACAUAAAAAAUAAAAUGAUUUUAAGAAAGAACAUGUAACAACACAAAGCAACAGUACAUCGAAGAGGAUUCAAUACUAUGUAUAAAACAACUUUUCAACCAGGAUUCCUAAAAUACAAUAGGAGAGGUCAUGAGACGAGAGGUUCCAGGCUGCAGUCAUAUGUUUAACACAGGAGAGGUCAUGAGACGAGAGGUUCCAGGCUGCAGUCAUGUUUAACACAGGGGAGGUCAUGAGACGAGAGGCUCCAGGCUGCAGUCAUAUGUUUAACACAGGAGAGGUCAUGAGACGAGAGGCUCCAGGCUGCAGUCAUAUGUUUAAUACAGGAGAGGUCAUGAGACGAGAGGCUCCAGGCUGCAGUCAUAUGUUUAACACAGGAGAGGUCAUGAGACGAGAGGCUCCAGGCUGCAGUCAUAUGUUUAA